rnacentral:rRNA from 1 species
AGAGUUUGAUCCUGGCUCAGGAUGAACGCUAGCGGUGUGCCUAAUGCAUGCAAGUCGAACGGGAACCUUUGGAUUCGUCUGAAGGGGAGAGUGGCGAACGGGUGAGUAACACGUAGGUGGCCCACCCCAGAGAGGGGGACAACCACUGGAAACGGUGGCUAAUACCCCAGAUGUUAUACUGCUUAGAAAGGUAUGACUAAAGCUCCGGCGCUCUGGGAGGGGCCUGCGGCCCAUCAGCUAGUUGGUGGGGUAACAGCCUACCAAGGCUAAGACGGGUAGGGGGCGUGAGAGCGUGACCCCCCACACUGGUACUGAGACACGGACCAGAUACCUGCGGGUAGCAGCAGCAAGGAAUAUUGCGCAAUGGGCGAAAGCCUGACGCAGCAACACCGCGUGGAGGAUGAAGGUCUUCGGAUUGUAAACUCCUUUUCUGGGGGAAGAGAAAGGACGGUACCCCAGGAAUAAGUCUCGGCUAACUACGUGCCAGCAGCCGCGGUAAAACGUAGGAGGCGAGCGUUAUCCGGAUUUACUGGGCGUAAAGCGCAUGCAGGCGGUUUUCUAAGUCGGACGUGAAAGCUCCUGGCUCAACUAGGAGGGGCCGUUCGAAACUAGGAGACUUGAGGAUGGUAGAGGAGAGUGGAAUUCCCGGUGUAGUGGUGAAAUGCGUAGAUAUCGGGAGGAACACCAGUGGCGAAGGCGGCUCUCUGGGCCAUUCCUGACGCUCAGAUGCGAAAGCUAGGGGAGAGAACGGGAUUAGAAACCCCGGUAUUCCUAGCCGUAAACGAUGUCAACUAGGCGUAGGAGGUCAUUUACCCCUUCUGUGCUGUAGCUAACGCGUUAAGUUGACCGCCUGGGGACUACGGCCGCAAGGCUAAAACUCAAAGGAAUUGACGGGGACCCGCACAAGCAGCGGAGCGUGUGGUUUAAUUCGAGGCUACACGAAGAACCUUACCAGGGCUUGACAUGUACGUGGUAGAGAACUGAAAAGGGAUCGACCCUUCGGGGAGCGUACACAGGUGCUGCAUGGCUGUCGUCAGCUCGUGUCGUGAGAUGUUGGGUUAAGUCCCGUAACGAGCGCAACCCUUGUCCUUAGUUGCCAGCGGUUCGGCCGGGAACUCUAAGGAGACUGCCGGUGAUAAACCGGAGGAAGGUGGGGAUGACGUCAAGUCAUCAUGGCCCUUAUAGGCUGGGCUACACACGUGCUACAAUGGUCGGUACAGAGGGUUGCAAAGCGGCGACGUGGAGCCAAUCUCAGAAAACCGAUCGUAGUCCGGAUUGCAGUCUGCAACUCGACUGCAUGAAGUCGGAAUCGCUAGUAAUCGCGAAUCAGAAUGUCGCGGUGAAUACGUUCCCGGGCCUUGUACACACCGCCCGUCACACCAUGGGAGUUGGUUGCACCAGAAGUGGGUAGCUUAACCUUCGGGAGAGCGCUCACCACGGUGUGGUCAAUGACUGGGGUGAAGUCGUAACAAGGUA